GGCUGCUAGGAAUUGUGGGAGUUGGAGUCCAAAACACCUGGAGGGCUGACGUUUGCCCAUGCCUGAUGUAUUACAUAUAUUUGUUUUGGGGGCCUUGAAAGUAUAGCUUGUGGUCACAGUGUCUGGAGGACCUAAAAAAUUCCAUAGAGAGGCCUCCUGUGCCUCUAAAUACACAUUCUGCAUCCGUCUGUGUACAGUCCGCAAUGAGCAGAUCUGUUGCUUUCAGUUGCCUUGGUUUGAGAUAUCCAAUUGCUUUCAUAGGCAAAUUGAUGCACUUAAGACGUCAAGAAGACUCCUUGGCUGGAUCUAGACUGCCAUAUCAAAUCCAGAUUAUCUGCUUUGAACUGGAUUAUAUGGCAGUGACUCAGGUUAGAUCUACCUCGCCGUAUGUCCCAGUAUCUGAUCCCAGAUUAUCUGCUUUUAACUGGAUUAUAUGAGUCUACACUGCCAGAUAAUCUGUGAUAAGAAGAUAAUCUGGGAUCAGAUCCUGGGAGAUAGGGUGGUAUAGAUCCAGCCUGAGUCCACACUGCAAUAUAUAGUAAUCCGGUUCAAAGCAGAUAAUCUGGAUUUUAUAUGGCAGUGUACGAGGGUUGAAUGAAAAGUAAUGCCUCCACCCUCGUUGCUUGGGUUUGGAUGGGAAUAUUUUGAUAAAUCAAACGCAGAAAUAAUCCUUAGAAUGUGCUCUUUAACUACCACUAUUUACUUUUCCACAUAAUCACCAGACAAUUGGAUACAUUUUGGUCAACGAUGAACACGUUUUCUGAAGCUGUCACGGAAGAAGUCUGUGCGCUUUCAUUUCAGGCGUCAGCAUCCUGGGUGCCCAUCGUGCACAGAUCUUCCGACAGCCAAGCAAAGCAAUAAUGCGACCCCACACAUUCUUGUGAAAUGCCGAUUAUGCUUGAAAUUUCUCUUUGAGUGAUAUGAUGAUUGUUAACUUGCAUAAAGUUGCAUUGACCAGUCUGCACAGGGUUCCAUACUUUGCACUUUAACAACACAACCGUUCAAUGCUAAGGCUUCCUACCAAAAUGGAACUGUAGAUGAGAGUCUACUGAACAAGCCAGUACCUGCCACAUACCAGUACUGCCAUCUGUUGAGGAGUUACAGGUUGCUUUUAAUUCAACCCUCAUAUAUCCAGGCAGGGAGUCUUCUUGGUGUCUCAAAUGCAUCAAUUCGCCUAUGAAAGCAGUUGGAUAUCUCAAACCAAGGUACUGAAAGCAAUAGAUUUGCUCAUUGUGGACUGUACAAAGAAGCAUGCAGAAUGUGCAUGUAAAACCUCCCCUUUUGUUCAGCCACAAUAAGGCAGGGCAUCCAAUAGGAAUCCCUUCCUUGAACCUGGCAAGUCGCGACCUUCUAACAUGCUGGACCACAACUCCCAUCAUCCCUGACAGAACCAGAAUUGCCUGAGGAUGAUGGGAGUGAUAGUGAUUUGUUGAGAAAUGCUGCUGUAAGUUACGCCAAAGAUUUCCCUAUUGAAGUAGAAAACAGACUGACAGGAAUGCAUCUACGCUGUAGAGUGGAUGCAAUUUGACACCACUUUGACUCCCACGGCUCAAUGCGCUGGAAUCCUGGGAGUUGUAGUUUUACAGGGCUUCUCUGCCAAAGAGGGCUGGAGCCUCACCAAACUACAAAUCCCAGGAUUCCAUAGCAUUGAGCCAUGACAAAGUGGUGUCACACUGCAUUCAUUCCACAGUGCAGAUGCCCCCAGAGUCCGCACGUCAAAAUAGUUUUAGCAAUUGCAGUCGGAAUCACGAAGGAUUCUCCGGGCCUAUAUGAUGCAACUUUAGACUGAUGAAGUAGACUUUCCCUUUUCUGAAACUUUGGGGGUUAAGAGAUAGCCAAAGAUCUGCAAGCGUUUUCUGAGUUCCUCCCCCAAGUUACAUUUUCAAGACACUUUCUGCCAGCUGUGAAAAAUAAACGGGUAAAAACCGAUAAUGAGUCGAUGGUGUGGCUCAAGCUUUCCUGUAUCAUAGGGGACCCUGUGCAAUAAGUGAGCAUGUGUCUAUUGCUUGUGCAUUGUUUUAUUUUGCCUGGAAAGUACAAUAAACAUCCACAUGCCUGA